UAGGGAAUCUUCGGCAAAGGACGGAAGUCUGACCGAGCAACGCCGCGUGAGUGAAGAAGGUUUUCGGAUCGUAAAGCUCUGUUGUAAGAGAAGAACGAGUGUGAGAGUGGAAAGUUCACACUGUGACGGUAUCUUACCAGAAAGGGACGGCUAACUACGUGCCAGCAGCCGCGGUAAUACGUAGGUCCCGAGCGUUGUCCGGAUUUAUUGGGCGUAAAGCGAGCGCAGGCGGUUAGAUAAGUCUGAAGUUAAAGGCUGUGGCUUAACCAUAGUACGCUUUGGAAACUGUUUAACUUGAGUGCAAGAGGGGAGAGUGGAAUUCCAUGUGUAGCGGUGAAAUGCGUAGAUAUAUGGAGGAACACCGGUGGCGAAAGCGGCUCUCUGGCUUGUAACUGACGCUGAGGCUCGAAAGCGUGGGGAGCAAACAGGAUUAGAUACCCUGGUAGUCCACGCCGUAAACGAUGAGUGCUAGGUGUUAGACCCUUUCCGGGGUUUAGUGCCGUAGCUAACGCAUUAAGCACUCCGCCUGGGGAGUACGACCGCAAGGUUG
rnacentral:rRNA from 1 species